rnacentral:rRNA from 1 species
UACGUAGGGGGGCAAGCGUUGUCCGGAUUUAUUGGGCGUAAAGAGCGUGUAGGCGGCCAUACAGGUCAGCUGUGAAAACUCGAGGCUCAACCUCGAGACGUCGGUUGAAACCGUAUGGCUAGAGUCCGGAAGAGGAGAGUGGAAUUCCCGGUGUAGCGGUGAAAUGCGCAGAUAUCGGGAAGAACACCCGUGGCGAAGGCGGCUCUCUGGGACGGUACUGACGCUGAGGUGCGAAAGCGUGGGGAGCAAACAGG